AGGGCACCACCAGGGGUGGAGCCUGCGGCUUAAUUUGACUCAACACGGGGAAACUCAUCCGGUCCGGACACCGUGAGGAUUGACAGAUUGAGAGCUCUUUCUUGAUUUGGUGGGCAGKGGUGCAUGGCCGUUCUUAGUUGGKGGAGUGAUUUGUCUGGUUUAUUCCGAUAACGAACGAGACUCUGGCCUACUAACUAGUUGCGCGAUUGAGGAGUCGUGCCAACUUCUUAGAGGGACAAGCGGUGCUCAGCCGCAUGAAAAAGAGCAAUAACAGGUCUGUGAUGCCCUUCGAUGUUCGGAGCUGCACGCGCGCUACACUGUGAGUGGCAGCAUGUUAGCUUGCCUCGCUCGCAAGAGUGGGGUAAUCGGUUGAAAAUCUCACGUGAUUGGGAUAGGGACUUGUAAUUAUUUCCCUUGAACGAGGAAUCCCUAGUAAGUGCAGGUCAUCAGCUUGCGCUGAUUACGUCCCUGCCCUUUGUACACACCGCCCGUCGCUGCCCGGAACUGAAGCAUCUCGAG
rnacentral:rRNA from 1 species